rnacentral:tRNA from 1 species
GGCCUUAAAAGCUAAAAGAUCAGCUAUUAA